ensembl:lncRNA
GGAGUGUAAAAGGCCAGCAUUUUGGGAGGACAAUUUGGUCACAUCUUCUCAAAUGAAAAUGUGCAAUACCUUAAACCAAAAAAUUCUACUUCCUACAAACAGGCUGUUCAAGGAUGUUUAUUUUGCAUUGUUUAUAAUAGCAACACAAAUAUGUAAAAUAAAAUAAACAACCCAAAUGUCUAUCAACAUGGAAAAGGGUAAACUAUCACUAUUCAGCAGUUUAGAAAUGAGGUCGUCCUAGAUACAUUAAUAUGGAAAGUUCUCCCAAGAUUAUAUUGUUACGUGGAGAAAGCAAAUUGCAAAAGCAUGAAUAUACAGGAUACCGUUUAUGUUAACCAAUUGUGUUAACUCAGAUGAAACUCAAAUUACAACAAAGCAAAUUAGGCAAAAAACUGUCGGGAGAGAUGCACGCAGCAAACAGUUCCAACGUCAUCUUUGGGGCGGGCUCUGGGCCCGGUGGCGGGGAGCAGGUGGCCAUGUGGGAGGACUUCUGCUGCAGCUGUAAGUUUCAUUGUUCUAAAUAACAGAACAUGUUCAUGUAUUAUUUGUGCAAUUAGAAUAUAAUCAAAUACAAAUAUGAAGGAUUUUAUUUGGUUUGAAGCAAAGAACAGGCGUACGUGUGAAAGCACCUGCUGGGUCUUCAAGAUGCCUAGCAUGAAUUCCUGGGCUGCUUCCCCGGUCACAAAGGCCCCCGGAGGCAGAAAGAAGAGAGCUCAAGUCUCUGCCCAGUCAUGAGAGGUACCUUGUUCCCAGGGCAGAGGAUGAGCGUAUGUGUGUGUGAGAGAGACAGAAAGAGAGGUGUUGAUGUUUGCUUUCUGACCCUGAAACAUCAGUAUCCAGAUUUUUCCACACUAUGCUGUCCUCUGUGCCAGCAGGAGCAAGGAUGAUGUGGCAUUUCUGAGAGCAACAUCCAUCUUUUUCUGGAGUGUAUUCCAUGCCACUGAUUCCCAUUCUGCCAAGUUUGCCGCUGGCACUUUCUAGAUCUCACCAGAAGGUGUCAGCAGAACGUUUCAGACACCGUUCAGGACUCUGGUUUCUUCCUCCAAAGGUUCUUAAGGGUUUGUGGACAGAAACAUUGAGAGGCUGAGGCCAUCCAGUCAAGCUGUUAGGAGUGACACAUGUAGGAAGCGAUAUUAAAUUCAGGGUUGCCACCUAGCCAACGGAAAGUUAAGACUGCCAGUGGAGAGAUAAGUCCUGAUUUCUGAAAUAUUGAGGUAAAGUGUACAUUUCAAAACUGAUCAAAUGUAGUACUUCUCUCCCAUCAAUUCCCAACAGCCAGUGAAGUAAUUAGUCUGUAGGGAAUCCAGGGAGACGGGAAAGGGCAGUGCAGUCUUCUCGUCACCCAUCACCCCUCAAAUGAGGUCGAUGCAGUGGAGGCAACCUCAAUCCAAAUUUAUAGAUGCCCAGAGAGGUAAGUCAAUUCCCCAGGAUCACACAGUCAAUGAAUGGCAGAGUCAGGACUUGAACUCAUGACCUGUGGCUCUGAAUCCAGUGCUUACUCUAUUCUGCUACAUGUUCAAGGGAGCUUUCUGGAGGAGGGUGCUUGGGGCUGGGCGUUGACCAUACGGCAUGUUUGGCCCUUGUGAACACCUGAGGGGGCCCAGCAUGGUUCUCACUGUUCACAGGACCAGACACUGUUGGGCCAGGAGGGGACGGGCCAUGGUAUGCUUCAGUUCUGUUUCAGCUCUGAACUGCUGAUGUCUUGCUCUGGACCUUCCUCUCUCCGAGCCGGAGUGCAGGAAAGAGUGUGUCAGACUCUAGGGUCGCUGACAGGCCUCCCAGUUCUGGAGCUCUGUGACCGAGUGACUUCCAGAAAGACAACUGUGUGAGACUGUGAAGCCUUGUUUCUCCGCUGGUCGGCUCAAGGAGCCUCGUGGUAGUGCUGGACUAAGGACUCUGGGCCUCACCCUGCCUGAGGACUCUGGACUCAGUGGGUGCAAAAGACUGUGUUGCUGAAGUUCACUGAACUGCACCUGGCCUCAGGGGAAGUGGACGCUCAGUCCUCAGAGACCAGGGAAUACCUGUGAGCAAAAGCCUUUGGCCUUGGAUUGCUGAGCCCACCUUCUGAGAGCCCAGGAUCAUGGAGGAAGAACCUAGGAAUAGAGAGAGCAAGGUCCUUGUCAGCCAGGAAGAUUCACUCUUGAUUGAAAGCACAAGUUCCCUGUCUUUGGGCUUCCUGGGCAUCAUCAUUUGUGGAAACGUCCAUUUUGUGUGCCAUAGGAGGGAGAGCGUUGAAGAGAGGAGAGUGAUGAUGAUGAUGAGAAGAGAUGACUGCUGCAUUCCCCAACAGUCCUUACGCCAGGCUGGGCUGAGGGCCUGCAUUCAGCACAUUGUUUUGGUGAAUUCUUCCAACAAUUCAUGAGGCGGGCACAGCCAGCUGGACUGUGCGCAUUAUGAGGGCAGGGCUCAUUUACCGCAGCAUCCGGUCAUCUAGAGCAAGG